rnacentral:lncRNA from 1 species
UUUUUUCAAGUUUUAUUUUAAGUUCAGUGGUCCAUGUUCAGGUUUGUUAUAUAGGUGAACUCAUGUCAUGGGAGUUUGUUAUACAGAUUAUUUCACCAUCCAGGUAUAAAGCCUAGUACCUAGUAGCUGUUUUUUUGAUUCUGUCCCUCUUGCCACCUUUCACCCUCCAGUUGGCCCCAGUGUCUGUUUUUCCCCACUAUGUGUCCAUGUGUUCUCAUCAUUUAGCUCCCAGUUAUAAGUGAGAAUAUGUGGUAUUUGGUUUUCUGUUCCUGUGUUAGUUUGCUAAGAAUAAUGGCCUUCAGCUCCAUCCAUGUCCCUGCAAAGGAUACAAUCUCAUCCAUUUUUAUGGCCACAUAGUAUUUCAUGGUGUACAUGUACCAUAUUUUCUCAAACUAUUCUACCAUUGAUGAGCAUUUAGGUUGAAUCUAUAUCUUUGCUAUUGUGAAUAGUGCUGCAAUGAAAAUGUUCCUUUUUCUCCCCAACCUCACUAGCAC